GGAGUUGUGGCUCAGUGGUAGAGCACUUGCCUAGCAUGUGUGAGGCCCUGGGUUCAAUUCUCAGCACCA
rnacentral:tRNA from 1 species